rnacentral:rRNA from 1 species
AGAAUCAACGCUGGCGGCGUGCCUAACACAUGCAAGUCGAACGAGAAAGUGGAGCAAUCCAUGUGUAAAGUGGCGCACGGGUGAGUAACACGUGACUAACCUACCCUUGAGUGGGGGAUAACCUAGGGAAACCUGGGCUAAUACCGCAUAAUACCUUCGGGUCAAAGGAGCAAUUCGCUUUAGGAGGGGGUCGCGGCCGAUUAGUUAGUUGGCGGGGUAAUGGCCCACCAAGACUGUGAUCGGUAU